rnacentral:lncRNA from 1 species
GGGGGCAGCCCCGGGGCGGCUGCUGGGCGGCGCGGCGCCCGCUCCUCCUCCUCCUCCUGCAGCCGCCAUCCAGCGAGCCGCGGUAGCGAGCGGUUAUAAGUAUCAUUCAGACACCAGUCUUCUGAGAUGGGAAAGACCAGUGAUGAAAAGACCAGUGAUGUUUCUCCAGUCCUUUCUGAAGAUAUUAACUGUAAGACCUCAGUUCCUGUCUUGCAAGAGUUUGGGCAUCACAGAGCACAAUAGGUGAAGGCAUGAAGAUCAACACUGAGAAAACAUGCACGUGCACAUAGGAUAAUGUCAGUGUCCCAGUUGUGCACUUGCAUGGCUAGGUAAAACAGAGCAAAACAAAACAAGAAAACAACCCUAAGGUAAAGUUCUCAUUAAGCAUUGUUUGGGCUGUCUAGAAGCAGGAGAUCUUCUCUACCACCUACUGGAAUUUGUUGGAUGAUUUGGUGUUGUUAUAGGAAGUAUUUGUCAGUUACUUUUUUUUGAGACAAUAAACACUGUUAGAGGCUGAAUAAAUUCUGUAGC